AACGCACCUUGCGCCCCUUGGACAUUCCGAGGGGCAUGCCUGUUUGAGUAUCAUGAACACCUCAACUCUCAUGGCUUGCCCGUGAUGAGCUUGGACUUUGGGGGUUUUGCUGGCCUACGGUUGGCUCCUCUCAAAUGAAUCAGCUUGCCAGUGUCUUGGUGGCAUCAUGGGUGUGAUAACUAUCUACGCUUGUGAUUGUCUGCUGAGUGACCUUCAGCGAUGGAGGUUUGCUGGAGCUUACAGAUGUCUCUCCUCAGCGAAGACAGCUUUUCGAACGUUCGAUCUCAAAUCAGGUAGGACUACCCGCUGAACUUAA
rnacentral:misc_RNA from 1 species